UUGGGCGUAAGAGUUCGUAGGUGGUUUGUUAAGUUUGGUGUUAAAGAUCGGGGCUCAACCCUGGGACUGCACUGAAUACUGGCAGACUCGAGUGUGGUAGAGGCUAGUGGAAUUCCCAGUGUAGCGGUGAAAUGCGUAGAUAUUGGGAAGAACACCGGUGGCGUAGGCGACUAGCUGGGCCAUAACUGACGCUGAGGAACGAAAGCCAGGGGAGCGAAUGGGAUUAGAUACCCCAGUAGUCCUGGCCGUAAACGAUGGAUACUAGGCGUAUCGGGUAUCGACCCCUGAUGUGCCGCAGCUAACGCGAUAAGUAUCCCGCCUGAGUAGUACGGCCGCAAGGUUGAAACUCAAAGGAAUUGACGGGGGCCCGCACAAGCGGUGGAACAUGUGGUUUAAUUCGAAGCAACGCGAAGAACCUUACCAGGGCUUGACAUGGUAGGAAGCUUUCGGAAACGA
rnacentral:rRNA from 1 species